rnacentral:rRNA from 1 species
UUAAAGAUAUCUAAAUAUUAGAUAAGUGUCUAGGUAUAAAGAUCGGACGUUUUACGAAAAACAUAAGAAGUCACUAAGAUCUAUGUAUUUCCAUAAGAAAACUUGAAUAUGUUAUAUAUAACUAUAUAACUCAACUCAGCGAACUGAAACAUCUAAGUAGCUGAAGAAAAGAAAUCAACCGAGAACCCGUUAGUAGCAGAGAGCGAAAAUGGUAUUUUUUGAGAAAUUAGCCAGAGAAGGUGUUUAUAGCCCUGUACUCUUUUAUUAUAGUAUCUAGUAAAACAUUUUGUUUGAAUUUGGGGGACCACCCUCUUUACUUAUAAUCUUUAUAACCAAUAGUAAACAAGUACCAUGAGGGAAAGAUGAAAAGAACCCUAGAAAAGGGAGUGAAAAGAUCCUUAAAUUUAAUAACAAGAAUCAGUUAGUAAUAUAACGUACCUUUUGCAUAAUGGGUCAGCGAGUCAAUUAAUGAAGCAAGCUUAAAAAAAGGAAGCGUAAUGAAGAUGAAAUCAAGAAGUAUAAAAAUAUUAUACUCUUAAGUUUUAUUGAUUGAACCCGAAACCAAGUGAUCUAGCUAUGAACAGGUUGAAGGAAGAGUAACAUCUUUUGGAGGACCGAACUCGUGUAUGUUGCAAAAUACUGGGAUGAUUUGUAGUUAGGGGUGAAAGGCCAACCAAACUUGGAAAUAGCUGGUUGUCUGCGAAAUCUAUAAAGUAGAGCGUAUUUUAAACUUUAUUAAGGGGUAGAGCUCUUAAUGGACUAGGGUGGCCCAAAGCUUUACCAACUCCAAUGAAACUUCGAAUACUUAAUAAUGAUGAAAUAAGACAGACUUUAGGUGCUAAGGUCUAAAGUCAAAAGGGAAACAGCCCAGAUUGUGUUUUAAGGUCCUCAAUAUUUUUUUAGUGGUAAAGGAAGUAAUAAAGCUUUGACAACCAGGAGGUGGGCUUGGAAGCAGCCAUCCUUUUAAGAAAGCGUAAUAGCUCACUGGUCUAGCUUUAUUGCGCCGAUAAUGUAUCGGGGCUCAAAAAACUUACCGAAGAAACAAUUUCUCAGCCUAGAAGGCUGAGUAAGGUAGCAGACCGUUCUGUAAUCAAAAAAGGAAACUAGAUCAGAAGUGAAAAUGCUGACAUAAGUAGCGUAAAAUCAUGUAGAUUCAUGAUGGCCGAAAGUUUUAGGUUUUCUGCGCAUCGUUAAACGGCGCAGUAGUGAAUUGGCCCCUAAAUAAAAAGAGGAAACUUUUAAUGAUGGGUUAUAGACUUGACAAAUAGUAAUUGCUUAUAAUAUCUUUGAAUCUAUAUUAUUUGAAAAAUAUUUCGGGAAACAAAUCUAUAAGAGACCGUACUUAAACCGACACAGGUAAACAGGUUGAAUAAACUAAGGCUUGGAGACAAUUUAGUCGAAGGAACUCGGCAAAAUAACCCUGUAACUUCGGAACAAAGGGUACUUGAACAACAAGUGGCACAGAAAUGGGGGUGACGACUGUUUAUUAAAAACACAGGACGCUGCAAAAUCUAUGAUAUAUAGCGUCUGAUACCUGCCCGGUGCUGGAAGUUUAAGAGUAGGAAAUGACGUUUUCUACUUAAUGCCCAGUAAACGGCAGCCGUAACUCUAACGGUUCUAAGGUAGCGAAAUUCAUUGGCACCUAAUUAGUGUCCUGCAUGAAUGGUACAACGAUUGCCCUGCUGUCUCCGAUUAAAGCUCAGCGAAAUUGAAUUCUCCGUGAAGAUGCGGAGUAUUAACGAUUAGACGGUAAGACCCUAUGCACCUUUACUAUAGGUUUACAGUGGAAAUAAAAAUAAAGUGUGUAGGAUAGGUGGGAUACAUCGUAAAUCUUGAAAUACCACUCUCUUUCUUUUUACCUCCUAAGUGAUAACGACACUGUAUGCUGGGUAGUUUAACUGGGGCGGUUGCCUCCUAAAGAGUAACGGAGGCGUGCAAAGGUAAGCUCAAGCUGGUCGGAAAUCAGCUGUAGAGCGUAAUGGUAUAAGCUUGCCUGACUGUAAGACCUACAAGUCGAGCAGAGACGAAAGUCGGCCAUAGUGAUCCGGGAGUUCUAUGUGGAAAGGCUCUCGCUUAACGGAUCAAAGGUACGCUAGGGAUAACAGGCUGAUAACUCCCAAGAGCCCUUAUCGACGGAGUUGUUUGGCACCUCGAUGUCGACUGAUCACAUCCUGGAGCUGAAGAAGGUUCCAAGGGUUCGGCUGUUCGCCGAUGAAAGUGGUACCCGAGUUGGGUUUAGAACGUCGUGAGACAGUUCGGUUCCUAUCUGUCGUUACACGAAGUGAAAAAACCGAUCUUUAGUACGAGAGGACCGGAAUAGUUUAACCACUGGUGAAAGGUUGUUGUUUCAGCAGCAUGCCAAUUAGCUACGUUAAGACAAGAGAACUACUGAAAGCAUCUAAGUAGGAAACUUUUUUAAAGAUAACUUCUAGUAACGCAAAAGAAUAUUUAGAUAUAGACGAUUAGAUUCUCUUCGUAAGGAUUAUUCAAUCGAACUUACAUAAUAUCCGCUGCAGACUU